CUGGCAUGCAAGAAUUCAUCCUGGAAAUUUUUAUUUGCUGAGAAUGAUACUGAUUUCUCAGAAUGCAUGAACUUCCUUUUGUUGAAUAUUAACUGGUGGGGGGCUUUUUGUUUGUUUGUUUUUGGGUUUUUUAAUGGCACUGUAGCAAUCAGUUGUUGUAAAGCUGGUUGGGAAGAGAAAGGGAUGUAGCAUGCAGCAGUCACCACGGGUGCAAUAACAUGUGCCCACUCCAGUGCCAGCUGGAGAUCACCAGCUGAUGGUGAGGAAAAGAGGACUGCACAAACUGGAGUCAGUAGGUCAUGCAAUGGCAAAUCGUGAAGGAGAUAUUAGCUUUGGAGUGGUUAAAACAGUUAAUGCAGACCUCCCUGAUUUACAUGGUUUUGACAGUGCCAGCUGCAUGCUGGCCAUGCAAGAAGAAAGUGGGAGAUGCUUAUCACUGCAGUUACUUCAUGGCACUCUUGGAUGGUUGUUGUGUCUGUGCCCAGGUGAACUGAAGUUUAAGCUCACCUCAGGUGGAUUUCUGUGUCCUCAGUGCCUGAACACAGUGACAAAGCCCAGCCCUAGCUAGAACAACAUUUACAUCACUUCAGUGCUUCCUCCUGGCUGGUGUGCCCCUCUUGGCCAAGCAGAUGGUACAGCAGUUUGCAGAAGCUGUCCAGUGUGUCUGUGUUUUCUCUGUCAUUACAACUCCUGAGAUGAAAUUUCAGAAAGUGCCAAAUCCAGCCAGGCCUCUGUAUGACUGACAAGGAUGCCAUCCCCAUCGCAGAGGAGGACCUGCCCUCUCUUCCCCUCCUAGCUCAGCAUUUCCCACUGCUGAACGCAGGGCAAGCUGCAAGCAAAAUGGGGCACAGAGAAGCCAGGGUGUGGGGACUCCCCCUCGUGCAGGCUGCAGCCAGCACAGUGCUGAUAGAAGACUGAUGGAAAGGGAAGGGAACUGAUCUUCCAUCCACACCUUAAGAGCAGGAGGCAAUGAUCCCAAU